rnacentral:rRNA from 1 species
UGGGGAAUAUUGGGCAAUGGGCGCAAGCCUGACCCAGCAACGCCGCGUGAAGGAAGAAGGCCCUCGGGUUGUAAACUUCUUUUAUCAAGGACGAAGAAAGUGACGGUACUUGAUGAAUAAGCCACGGCUAACUACGUGCCAGCAGCCGCGGUAAUACGUAGGUGGCAAGCGUUAUCCGGAUUUACUGGGUAUAAAGGGCGUGUAGGCGGGACUGCAAGUCAGAUGUGAAAUUUCAGGGCUCAACCCUGAACCUGCAUUUGAAACUGUAGUUCUUGAGUGAUGGAGAGGCAGGCGGAAUUCCGUGUGUAGCGGUGAAAUGCGUAGAUAUACGGAGGAACACCAGUGGCGAAGGCGGCCUGCUGGACAUUAACUGACGCUGAGGCGCGAAAGCGUGGGGAGCAAACAGGAUUAGAUACC